GUGCAAGAUGGAAGAAACUGGCUGUUGGUGGGGACAACUCCACAUAUCUGGUGCCAGGAAUAUUGUGAAUAUAUUCUUACUAACACACCUGGGACUGGGAUCUGGUUGGCUGGACUUGUGGGCCAGGGUUCUUCCAUGCACAAGCCUUUGAGAGGAGCUAGGGAAGUUAAGGAGGUGGUAACAUCAACUCGAGAGAUGAGGCAAGAGAAGUUUGGCUUCCUACGAAGAACUCUAACUCCUAUUCUUGGCUCCUCUAAUAUUAUGAAGCAGAAAGUCAUACUGUGUGGCAUGGGCUGCUUUCCCCCAGCACACAGAAAUGCACAUGAUGUUUCCCCCAGCACACAGAAACGCACAUGAUUCUUUCUCCUACUUCAACAGUGACUCAGAACAGACUUGGAAAUGAGACACGCAAUCCUGACACUCUCCUCCUGUUCUAAGUCAUGAUUGUCAACAACAAACCUGUAUUUAUCUAAAUAAA